rnacentral:rRNA from 1 species
UACGUAGGGGCUAGCGUUAUCCGGAAUUACUGGGCGUAAAGGGUGCGUAGGCGGUCUUUCAAGCCAGAAGUGAAAGGCUACGGCUCAACCGUAGUAAGCUUUUGGAACUGUAAGACUUGAGUGCAGGAGAGGAGAGUGGAAUUCCUAGUGUAGCGGUGAAAUGCGUAGAUAUUAGGAGGAACACCAGUAGCGAAGGCGACUUUCUGGACUGUAACUGACGCUGAGGCACGAAAGCGUGGGUAGCGAACAGGAUUAGAUACCCGCGUAGUCCCUGAG